GGCACUGUAGCCAAGUGGUUACGGCGUCACGUUUAGGUCACUGCACCACAUCCGUGAUGGGAAACCUCGCGAGUUCGAAUCUCGUCAGUGUCA